UAAGCGGAGGAAAAGAAACUAACAAGGAUUCCCCUAGUAACUGCGAGUGAAGCGGGAAAAGCUCAAAUUUAAAAUCUGGCGGUCUUUGGCCGUCCGAGUUGUAAUUUAGAGAAGCGUCUUNCGCGCCGGACCGUGCACAAGUCUCCUGGAAUGGAGCGUCAUAGAGGGUGAGAAUCCCGUCUUUGGCACGGAUGCCCGGUGCUUCUGUGAUGCGCUCUCGAAGAGUCGAGUUGUUUGGGAAUGCAGCUCAAAAUGGGUGGUGAACUCCAUCUAAAGCUAAAUAUUGGCGAGAGACCGAUAGCGAACAAGUACCGUGAGGGAAAGAUGAAAAGCACUUUGGAAAGAGAGUGAAACAGUACGUGAAAUUGUUGAAAGGGAAACGCUUGAAGUCAGUCGCGUCGACCGAGACUCAGCCUUGCCUUGGCUUGGUGUACUUCUCGGCCCGACGGGUCAGCGUCGAUUUCGCUCCUCGGAUAAUGGCAAGGGAAAGGUGGCACCUUUACGGGUGUGUUAUAGUCUCCUGUCGCAUGCGAGGGGUGGGAUCGAGGAACUCAGCGCGCACCUUGGUGUCGGGGCUUCUGCCCACGUCACGCGCUUAGGAUGCUGGCGUAAUGGCUUUAAACGACC
rnacentral:rRNA from 1 species